AUGGAGUUUCAGCACAUGAUAAUGUUAUUAUCCAUUGUUGUGACUGGCGUAUCAAGGUAUUACGGGGCACUGAGUCUCCCAACAGGGUCAAGGUUAAGUUAUAGGUAUUCCACAUCCACAAACACGUUCCUUCAAGGCAGAGCUGACAAACGUAGCGGCAUCUCCCUGGAAGCCACCGUAGUGGUUGAAGUGCUGGCAAAAUGCCAUUGUGUUUUACAACUGCAAGAUGUACAGAUCAAGACAAUCUUGGAAUCCAAGGAGAAAUUGCACAAGGAAAAUGUCAAUUUAAGGAAAGUCUUGGAACAACAUCCAUUGUUGUUUUGCUUCCAUAAUGGGAAGAUUUUGAAGAUCUUCCCCCAAGAGAGGGAGCCAAUCUGGGCACUCAACAUCAAGCGAGGUAUUCUCAGUGUUUUCCAGACAUCUUUGGUGGCAGCAGUUACCAACAGGACUGUGCAAGAGGUAAGUAGUGUUUAGAAUUCAAACAUGGUUUUAGUCAGUAAAUAUUCUUGACCUGAACCCCAAAGAUUUCCAGCUGCUAAUAAUAAUAAUAAUAUAAUAUAAUAAUAUAAUAAUAAUAUAAUUUAUUGUCAUUGUAAGUAUAUACACAGUAUACCAGACAACGAAAUAAUGAGGGGCAUUGAUUAUUUACUCUGGAGUUUGCAUCAGAUCUGGCAUGGAUAAAACCAAAUUAAAAACUGGUGACUACACAACACAAAGCUAAGUGCAGGACACCUGAUGAAAAAUGUCUCUUUCAUGGGGAAUUGUCUUUUUAAAAUUCAACUGGCAGGGAUGGUUUAAUUUUGCUCCUUGCUGGCAUUGCUUUUCUCUGCUUUCUCCCCUAUGUGCUGGUAAGGAUGUCAGUUCCUAUCAACCAAAUGUCAGUUGUUUCCAAACAGUACAGUGGUGCCUCGCUUUACGAUUGCCCCGCAUUACGACGAAUCCACUUAAUGACGGUCUUUUUGCGAUCGCAAUUGCAAUUGCAAAACGAUGGUCUGAACGGAGGAAUUUUGCUUUGUGAUGAUUGGUUCCCUGCUUCGGGAACCGAUUCUUCACAAAAUGACGUUUUUUUAACAGCUGAUUGGCGGUUUCAAAAUGGCCGCCGGGUGAUUAAAAUGGCUCCCCGCUGUGUUUAGGGACAGAUUCCUUGCUAUACAGGCAGCGAAAAAGGCCGCCAUAUGGAGGAUCUUCGCUGGACAGUGAGUUUUUACCCCAUUGGAACGCAUUGAACAGAUUUCAAUGCGUUUCAAUGGGGUUUUUAUUUUCCCUUUACAAUGUUUUCGCUUAACGGCGAUUUUCCUGGGAUGGAUUAUCAUCGUUAAGCGAGGCACCACUGUAUUUUAAAAAGGCUUUGAAGUCAGUGCUGAAAUAUAAUAUUGAUAGGCCUCCUCAGGAAAAGAAAAAUAGA
rnacentral:lncRNA from 1 species